GUGCUCGCUUCUGCAGCACAUAUACUAAAAUUGGAAUGAUACAGAGAAGAUUAGCAUGGCCCCUGCGCAA
rnacentral:sRNA from 1 species